rnacentral:rRNA from 1 species
GACGAACGCUGGCGGCGUGCUUAACACAUGCAAGUCGAACGGAAAGGCCCUGCUUUUGUGGGGUGCUCGAGUGGCGAACGGGUGAGUAACACGUGAGUAACCUGCCCUUGACUUUGGGAUAACUUCAGGAAACUGGGGCUAAUACCGGAUAGGAGCUCCUGCUGCAUGGUGGGGGUUGGAAAGUUUCGGCGGUUGGGGAUGGACUCGCGGCUUAUCAGCUUGUUGGUGGGGUAGUGGCUUACCAAGGCUUUGACGGGUAGCCGGCCUGAGAGGGUGUACGGCCACAAUGGGACUGAGAUACGGCCCAGACUCCUACGGGAGGCAGCAGUGGGGAAUAUUGCACAAUGGGCGGAAGCCUGAUGCAGCAACGCCGCGUGCGGGAUGACGGCCUUCGGGUUGUAAACCGCUUUCGCCUGUGACGAAGCGUGAGUGACGGUAAUGGGUAAAGAAGCACCGGCUAACUACGUG